CUUGUACUCCCUCUGUCCAAAAAUACUCGUCGGAGAAAUGCAUAAAAAUAGAUGUAUCUAAAACUAAAAUACGUCUAGAUACAUUCAUUUCUCCGACAAGUAUUUCCGGACGGAAGGAGUAUAUA
rnacentral:pre_miRNA from 1 species